rnacentral:rRNA from 1 species
UGCCUACGGGACGCAGCAGUGGGGAAUAUUGCACAAUGGGGGGAACCCUGAUGCAGCGACGCCGCGUGGGUGAAGGAGUAUUUCGGUAUGUAAAGCCCUAUCCGCAGGGAAGAACAAUGACGGUACCUGACUAAGAAGCACCGGCUAAAUACGUGCCGGCAGCCGCGGUAAUACGUAUGGUGCAAGCGUUAUCCGGAUUUACUGGGUGUAAAGGGAGCGCAGGCGGCGCGUUAAGCCUGGUGUGAAAGCCCUCGGCCCAACCGCGGGACUGCGUUGGGAACUGGCGCGCUGGAUUG